CUGUGGCAUUUAUUCUGUGCACAUGAACACGUUUUCAGAAUUGCUAUGUGUAACUCAGACGGUUACUCUUGUGUGUUUUGCUACUAGUUGUGCGAACGAGCCAGACAAACCAGCUGGGAGGACGGAAGCACCCCUUCUCCAUCCGCGUUCAGUAACUGAAUACGGAUUCACCCCGUAGUUGUGGUGUUUUCCAUAGCUGUUCCUUGCUCCUGUAUCACAACAUAUCAAGGCUGCCAAGUAAAUGAAGAAUGAAUCACCGCACACUGGUCAACAGCAGACAGGGUCCUUCCACAACCACAUACUUAUGCCAGUAAAAGCUACAGCUUUUCUCCUCCGAUCCAAGAAGCCUGGACUGCAGUCACCAUCUCAACACACCAACCAAGAGAAAGGCGGAUGGCUCAAUUCAAUAUGGAAAAUUGCACAAUAAAAGUUCCAGGACAUGAAGGCUGCAUACUGUGAACGUCAACCUUCAGGGCACCGUCCUGCGCAGAAGACUUUCUACCCUAAGAGGGAUGGCUGACCGCAGACACUCACAACCAGCACAGACGCCUCCAACCUCAGACUAGGCCCUUCACAGUUGCUGCACUUACCCACCUUCCCAGAGUUUUUGUGUGAUUGCGCAGAGGCGCCAGGUUGGUUGUGCUACUGGGCUGUGACUGAGGACCAGAUGUCAUGUGCCAGGUCGAACAUCAAACUGGGGUCACGGGUUAGGGCACGCUGCAGUAACCGAUGGGAUUGCUUCAA